rnacentral:rRNA from 1 species
UACGGGGGGGCAAGGCGUUGUUCGGAAUUACGUGGGCGUUAAAGGGCUCGAUAGGCGGCCAACGUAAGUCAUACGUGAAAUCCCUCGGCUUAAACCCGGGGGAACUGCGUCGUGAUGACUGGAGUGGCUUAGAUUGGGAGAGGGAGUGCGGAAUUCCAGGUGUAGCGGUGAAAUGCGCAGAUAUCAGGAGGAACACCGGUGGCGAAGGCGGCUUGCUGGGCCAGUUCUGACGCUGAGGAGCGAAAGCGUGGGGAGCGAACAGG